AUGCCUAACCCCAGAGAAGUUGAUUGUGCUCUUUUCGUUGAACAUGUUAAACUCAAGAAGUGUGGUGUGGCUGUUAAAUUUUCCCCCUGGUCUGAGGAUAUUGAUUCUGAAGGGCUCCUAGAGGUUGCUUGGGUGAGGAUUGGGAAAAUCCCUCCUAAUAAACGUUGUGAUAAGACUGUAGCUUAUGUGGGGGGACUUGUGGGUAUAACCCUGGAGGUUGAUAUGUCUACUUUGAAUCGCCCGUCUUCUGUGAGAGCUAAAAUAGGAUGUCGAUCAGUGAAACAACUCCCUAACACAGGUGAAGGAGUGUUGGGGGGCGUUUCUAUAAGUUUACUUUUGAGGUGGAGGAAAUCCUGGUGGUUAAUGUUGUUGACAAAGAGGUCGUGCGUGUUAAGGCCAAUGACAACCCCCCUAAGCCUGAUCAGACUCCUAAGCGCAAGCGUGCUGAUCAGGGGGUGGAUGAGGAAUAAUAUAAUUUGA
rnacentral:rRNA from 1 species